AACGAACGCUGGCGGCAGGCCUAACACAUGCAAGUCGAACGCCCUGGCAACAGGGAGUGGCAGACGGGUGAGUAACGCGUGGGAACGUGCCUUUCGGUUCGGAAUAACCCAGGGAAACUUGGAUUAAUACCGGAUACGUGCGAGAGCAGAAAGAUUUAUCGCCGAAAGAUCGGCCCCGCGUCCGAUUAGCUAGUUGGUGAGGUAAAGGCUCACCAAGGGCGACGAUCGGUAGCUGGUCUGAGAGGAUGAUCAGCCACACUGGGACUGAGACACGGCCCAGACUCCUACGGGAGGCAGCAGUGGGGAAUAUUGGACAAUGGGCGGCAAGCCUGAUCCAGCC
rnacentral:rRNA from 1 species